UCAAGUGAAGAAGCGCAUACGGUGGAUGCCUUGGCAGUCAGAGGCGAUGAAAGACGUGGUAGCCUGCGAAAAGCUUCGGGGAGUCGGCAAACAGACUUUGAUCCGGAGAUGUCUGAAUGGGGGAACCCAGCCAUCAUAAGAUGGUUAUCUUGUACUGAAUACAUAGGUGCAAGAGGCGAACCAGGGGAACUGAAACAUCUAAGUACCCUGAGGAAAAGAAAUCAACCGAGAUUCCCUUAGUAGUGGCGAGCGAACGGGGACUAGCCCUUAAGUGGCUUUGAGAUUAGCGGAACGCUCUGGAAAGUGCGGCCAUAGUGGGUGAUAGCCCUGUACGCGAAAAUCUCUUAGUCAUGAAAUCGAGUAGGACGGAGCACGAGAAACUUUGUCUGAAUAUGGGGGGACCAUCCUCCAAGGCUAAAUACUACUGACUGACCGAUAGUGAACUAGUACCGUGAGGGAAAGGCGAAAAGAACCCCGGAGAGGGGAGUGAAAUAGAUCCUGAAACCGUAUGCGUACAAGCAGUGGGAGCAGACUUUGUUCUGUGACUGCGUACCUUUUGUAUAAUGGGUCAGCGACUUAUUUUCAGUGGCGAGCUUAACCGAAUAGGGGAGGCGUAGCGAAAGCGAGUCUUAAUAGGGCGUCUAGUCGCUGGGAAUAGACCCGAAACCGGGCGAUCUAUCCAUGGGCAGGUUGAAGGUUGGGUAACACUAACUGGAGGACCGAACCGACUACCGUUGAAAAGUUAGCGGAUGACCUGUGGAUCGGAGUGAAAGGCUAAUCAAGCUCGGAGAUAGCUGGUUCUCCUCGAAAGCUAUUUAGGUAGCGCCUCAUGUAUCACUGUAGGGGGUAGAGCACUGUUUCGGCUAGGGGGUCAUCCCGACUUACCAAACCGAUGCAAACUCCGAAUACCUACAAGUGCCGAGCAUGGGAGACACACGGCGGGUGCUAACGUCCGUCGUGAAAAGGGAAACAACCCAGACCGUCAGCUAAGGUCCCAAAGUUAUGGUUAAGUGGGAAACGAUGUGGGAAGGCUUAGACAGCUAGGAGGUUGGCUUAGAAGCAGCCACCCUUUAAAGAAAGCGUAAUAGCUCACUAGUCGAGUCGGCCUGCGCGGAAGAUGUAACGGGGCUCAAACCAUACACCGAAGCUACGGGUAUCAUCUUAGGAUGAUGCGGUAGAGGAGCGUUCUGUAAGCCUGUGAAGGUGAGUUGAGAAGCUUGCUGGAGGUAUCAGAAGUGCGAAUGCUGACAUGAGUAACGACAAUGGGUGUGAAAAACACCCACGCCGAAAGACCAAGGUUUCCUGCGCAACGUUAAUCGACGCAGGGUUAGUCGGUCCCUAAGGCGAGGCUGAAAAGCGUAGUCGAUGGAAAACAGGUUAAUAUUCCUGUACUUCUGGUUAUUGCGAUGGAGGGACGGAGAAGGCUAGGCCAGCUUGGCGUUGGUUGUCCAAGUUUAAGGUGGUAGGCUGGAAUCUUAUGUAAAUCCGGGAUUCUAAGGCCGAGAGCUGAUGACGAGUCAUCUUUUAGAUGACGAAGUGGUUGAUGCCAUGCUUCCAAGAAAAGCUUCUAAGCUUCAGGUAACCAGGAACCGUACCCCAAACCGACACAGGUGGUUGGGUAGAGAAUACCAAGGCGCUUGAGAGAACUCGGGUGAAGGAACUAGGCAAAAUGGCACCGUAACUUCGGGAGAAGGUGCGCCGGUGAGGGUGAAGGACUUGCUCCGUAAGCUCAUGCCGGUCGAAGAUACCAGGCCGCUGCGACUGUUUAUUAAAAACACAGCACUCUGCAAACACGAAAGUGGACGUAUAGGGUGUGACGCCUGCCCGGUGCCGGAAGGUUAAUUGAUGGGGUUAGCUAACGCGAAGCUCUUGAUCGAAGCCCCGGUAAACGGCGGCCGUAACUAUAACGGUCCUAAGGUAGCGAAAUUCCUUGUCGGGUAAGUUCCGACCUGCACGAAUGGCGUAACGAUGGCGGCGCUGUCUCCACCCGAGACUCAGUGAAAUUGAAAUCGCUGUGAAGAUGCAGUGUAUCCGCGGCUAGACGGAAAGACCCCGUGAACCUUUACUAUAGCUUUGCACUGGACUUUGAAUUUGCUUGUGUAGGAUAGGUGGGAGGCUUUGAAGCGUGGACGCCAGUUCGCGUGGAGCCAACCUUGAAAUACCACCCUGGCAACUUUGAGGUUCUAACUCAGGUCCGUUAUCCGGAUCGAGGACAGUGUAUGGUGGGUAGUUUGACUGGGGCGGUCUCCUCCUAAAGAGUAACGGAGGAGUACGAAGGUGCGCUCAGACCGGUCGGAAAUCGGUCGUAGAGUAUAAAGGCAAAAGCGCGCUUGACUGCGAGACAGACACGUCGAGCAGGUACGAAAGUAGGUCUUAGUGAUCCGGUGGUUCUGUAUGGAAGGGCCAUCGCUCAACGGAUAAAAGGUACUCCGGGGAUAACAGGCUGAUACCGCCCAAGAGUUCAUAUCGACGGCGGUGUUUGGCACCUCGAUGUCGGCUCAUCACAUCCUGGGGCUGAAGCCGGUCCCAAGGGUAUGGCUGUUCGCCAUUUAAAGUGGUACGCGAGCUGGGUUUAGAACGUCGUGAGACAGUUCGGUCCCUAUCUGCCGUGGACGUUUGAGAUUUGAGAGGGGCUGCUCCUAGUACGAGAGGACCGGAGUGGACGAACCUCUGGUGUUCCGGUUGUCACGCCAGUGGCAUUGCCGGGUAGCUAUGUUCGGGAAAGAUAACCGCUGAAAGCAUCUAAGCGGGAAACUUGCCUCAAGAUGAGAUCUCACUGGAACCUUGAGUUCCCUGAAGGGCCGUCGAAGACUACGACGUUGAUAGGUUGGGUGUGUAAGCGCUGUGAGGCGUUGAGCUAACCAAUACUAAUUGCCCGUGAGGCUUGACC
rnacentral:rRNA from 1 species